GAUGAACGCUAGCGGCAGGCCUAAUACAUGCAAGUCGAGGGGCAUCAGGUGUAGCAAUACAUGCUGGCGACCGGCGCACGGGUGCGUAACACGUAUGAAACCUACCCAUAACUUGGGGAUAGCCCGGAGAAAUCCGGAUUAAUAUCCAAUGACACUGUGAGAUGGCAUCAUCUUAUUGUUAAAGAUUUAUCGGUUAUGGAAGGUCAUGCGGCUGAUUAGCUAGUUGGUGAGGUAAUGGCUCACCAAGGCCACGAUCGGUAGGGGACCUGAGAGGGUGAUCCCCCACACUGGUACUGAGAUACGGACCAGACUCCUACGGGAGGCAGCAGUAGGGAAUAUUGGGCAAUGGACGAAAGUCUGACCCAGCCAUGCCGCGUGCAGGAAGAAGGCCUUCUGGGUUGUAAACUGCUUUUGAUCGGGAACAAAGAAUCCAUGCGUGGAUAGUUGAGUGUACCGAUAGAAUAAGCACCGGCUAACUCCGUGCCAGCAGCCGCCGUAAAAC
rnacentral:rRNA from 1 species